rnacentral:rRNA from 1 species
UACGUAGGGUGCGAGCGUUGUCCGGAAUUAUUGGGCGUAAAGAGCUCGUAGGCGGUCUGUCGCGUCUGCUGUGAAAACUCAGGGCUUAACCCUGAGCUUGCAGUGGGUACGGGCAGACUAGAGUGCGGUAGGGGAGACUGGAAUUCCUGGUGUAGCGGUGAAAUGCGCAGAUAUCAGGAGGAACACCGGCGGCGAAGGCGGCUCUCUGGACCACAACUGACGCUGAGGCGCGAAAGCGUGGGGAGCAAACAGG